CCCACGUUGAGGAAGGAGGGCUUUGAGG
rnacentral:piRNA from 1 species